rnacentral:rRNA from 1 species
GUGACCUCAAAUCAGGUAGGACUACCCGCUGAACUUAAGCAUAUCAAUAAGCGGAGGAAAAGAAACUAACAAGGAUUCCCAUAGUAACCGCGAGUGAAGCGGGAAAAGCUCAAAUUUAAAAUCUGGCAGCCUUUGGUUGUCCGAGUUGUAAUCUAGAGAAGUGUUAUCCGCGCUGGACCGUGUACAAGUCUCCUGGAAUGGAGCGU